rnacentral:misc_RNA from 1 species
GCACAAAAAGUACAAAAUGGUUCUUUCCAUUUUGUUUCUUUUUCUUUAAUUGUAUUACCUGCCAAUGGAUACGACCAAAAAGGGAGGGAGAAAAGUGCUGUGAUUAUGACAACAAAUGCUGCGAGGAGGAGUUCAAAAAAGCUCGUUGCUGUGCCAUGCGUAGUUGCAACAAGUGUAAAGGUUCUGUCUGGAUUGGUGGCUGCUAUGAGAAAGGUUACCUUUUUAAGAAAGAUUAUUUAUUUGGCUGUUGUCAAAUUUAUUGUGGCUGCUUCAUAAUGAUUAUAUCUAUUGCAGCAGUUGCCAUCAACAUAUUUCCUCUGGUUAUGUUCAUUGUUGGUUGGGCAACAUGUAGAGAAGGCACUGAAUAUGAAAUAUCUAAAUUAUGCUAUACACUGUACUUCAAUAUAACUGAAACAAAGUUGCCACCACUUGUAUUGAGAAAUGCUGAAGAUAACAAUGUUAAUAAUAGCGAUACUAAAGUAGCAGUUCAAGACUUCAUUGAUGUCAGUAAGAUAUCAUUGUUAUUCUCAACAACAGCUAAUGCAGUAUCUCACGUAUUGUUCAUAUGGGCACUGUGGUGCCUGUAUGUUAAACACUAUAAAAGUUUUAAUAAAAAUUGCUUUUUGAAAAUUCAAAACUUCUCAAAAAACUGAGCUGUGACACUAAAAAUGAAAAAGGUGAACUGCCAUUGGAUCCUUUUAAUGACAAAACUGAAGGCCAAUGCUUGAUAAAAGACAUUGUGUUGUUAACAUGAUGUUACUAUAGCAAUAGUAAUAUUCAUCACUCUUUUGAUGUAUGACUUCUAAAGUAACUUAACAUUAUUCAUGAAAUGCAUUUUAUGAUUCUUGAUGACAUGAUAUUACCAUAACAACAAAAACACACUUAAUAUAAAUGUAGAUCUAAUACAAAUCAGAGCAAAAUUACAUGCUUUUGUAGGUCUAUAUGCUUUGGUAUAUGCGUUGAAGUAUAUCAGCCUACUUGUCAAAGUAUAUUAGCUACUGAUGAGUACAAACACAUUAAGAAACUAAUAUAAAAACAUGUAGACUACCAGUAUUUACUACCUACAUAAUACCAAAUGUACCCUUGGUAUAGUGCACAAACUGCACAUGGCAAUCUUUGAACAAAGGCUGUAAAUAUAUUUUUUUAUUCAUCACUAUAAUACCGACAUUCACAUCACAUCAUUGCAUCUACUAGGUUGUAUAGUUUGCUUCAUAGGGCAUACAGAUCUAUACACUCAUUACGCUCUUGAAUCCAUGUAGUUGUUUACCAUAAAGUCAUGACAGAUCUGAUAAGUAAAUCUAGAUCAAAAUUCAUAGUUAGUGGAUUAUCUUAAUAACACAAUCUAUGCUAUCACAUUUCAACCUUACACCAUGCACACCCCCUUGUAAUAGCUUGUUUUGCUGUUGCUUAUAGCUGCAUUGCUGUAUUAGCCUAGCUCACUUCAUUUAUCAACUUGAACUAUAUCUAACUAAUGACCACAAUGGCUAGUGUAAAAACAUGUUGCAGUAAAUGUCUAGAAGUACUUGUAUGUCUAUUUCAAAUAGCAGCAGGUUUAUGCUGUAUCAUACAUUGCAAUUACUGUUGCACAAAACAACGGGUCUUUCAAUUUUUGUUCUUUCUCAUAAAUUUAUUUACCUGCCAAUGGAUACGACCAAAAAGAAAAGGUGAAAAGUGUUGCUGGGAUCGUACAUCUGUUGACAGUAAGAAAGCCUGCAGCUGCUUUACAACUUUUUGUGGCUGUGUCAUGAUUGGCAUGUCUUUUCUUGCCAUGCUCAUCAACAUGUUUCCUCUGGCUAUGUUCAUUGCUGGUUGGAGUACAUGUCAAAAUGGCAGUGCAUAUAAAAUAUCUGAAUUAUGCUAUACACUGCAUUUCGAUUAUGCCCAUAGUACAAAUAAUAAUGAGUUUCCUGAGCUUGUCUUGAGAGAGUAUAAACCAGAGAAUGAUGUGAAUAAUAGUGAUACUAAACAUUUGAUUCAAGAGUUUGUUGAUCUCAGUAAGAUAUCAUUGUUAUUCUCAACAACAGCUAAUGCAGUAUCUCACGUAUUGUUCAUAUGGGCACUGUGGUGUUUAUUCUGGAAACAUUAUGAAAGUGUUAAUAAAGAAUGCUUGCUGAGAAGUCAUAACUUCAUUAAAAGACUAAGCUGUGCUGCUGGAACAGAAGAUGAAUUUCCAUUAGAUCCUUUCAAUGAUGAAAUUGAAGAAGGUGAUCUAAUGGAAAUAAAUACAGCAAAACAAGUCAAAGAACUUUAUGAAAAGAAAAAUGCUAAUAGAUUCUUUAGUAAAGAAGUUGAGCGUACUAAUACACCACUGCAAGGUGAACGAUUGUGCCAUUAUGUAACAUGGUUCAUCAUUGGGAUAAUACUAUACAUCAUCACUGUUGGAGUAUUCUUUCAUCUUUACUACGAACAAAAUAAGCAUAGAUCAAUCAAUAAAGAAUUUAAAUUGGAAAUUUCUGCUCUUGUAUUGUAUGCUUAUUCAUUGUUUCAAGUUUUGGUCAGUUGCUUCAUAUUCUCAAAGUUGAUGUAUGGAAUACAGAGAAGAUGUGAAGAAUUAGAACUAUUUGUGUAUCAUAUUAAUGAAGAGUAUCGUGAUGAAAAUCAUUAUAUUGAGACUCAUACAGAAGAUACUGAGGAACAAGAAGAUAAUACUCAUACAUGUAGUACUCAAACAGAAAUAAAAAUGCAAAAUAUGGGAGAUGAUCUUGACAAAAUUGCGAAAGACAAAGAGAAUCUCAAAGAAUGUGACAGACAUUUCAUUGAUACAGCAGUAUCCACACUUAGCUGGCUUCAGUUAUGGUUCCUACUCCACUGGAUACUCCAUAUAAUAUCAACCUUUAUGAUAAUGUCACUACUGAUUGAUGCUAUUGCACUUCACGUUAAAUCAAGAAUAUCUCACAUUGAGCAUGGGGUUGGGUUUCAUCCUGGAGAGAUUGGGUUUCUCUUCAUGUUCAGUGUACUACAUUGCUUCUUUCUGUUUUAUCCUUGCUUGAGAGCUGCUAGUGUUACCAGGACAAGACAACGUGUUAUAAGAAAGAUCAGUGAAAAAGCAAGCAAUGAAUAUAAGUAUAUUCCAAAUAAGGUUAUGCAGGAAUUCAUUGAGUCUAUGAAGAGAAGGAAGUUUAGUUUCAGGUUGCGUAUAUUGUGUGCUAGAAUUCCUUUUAAUCUAAACAUAGCUUAUGUAUCUAUCGCCUUUGGUUUUGUUGGUGUAAUAGUUUCUUUAAUUACUACUGUUACUAAGUAACAUAACUACAGCUGCAUUUUAGGAACUGCAUAAUAUUAUUAUUACUAUUGUUUUUACUAUAAUUGCUGAUAACUGUGUUAUUGCUAGUUACAAGACUUUCAUUAUUAUUUUUUGUUUUUGCUGCUGCUGGUGUCAUUAAAACUACGUUCAUUAGUUGCAAUUCUUUAAUUCAAGUAUGAAUCAACACAAGUUUGCAGAGGCAUAUCCAGGAGGAGGCAUUCCUUCAUCACUGGGCUCUGCUGUAUCAGAAAAUGUAAUGAAAUUUUUAUAUAUUCAGGUUACGUAUAUUGUGUGUUAGGAUUCCUUUUAACCUAAACAUAGCUUAUGUAUCCAUUGCCUUUGGCUUUGUUGGUGUGAUAGUUUCUUUAAUUACUACUGUCACUGAUUAAUUACAUUAUUGCUAGUUAUUAUACACUAACAGUUAAUAUUAUUAUCAUUGUCUUUUGUUGUACUGCUGCUUUACUUAACUUGAACAUUUUUUGGCUGACUGUAUCUACUAUUUUUGCUUGAUUAAUGAUACUUGCUAUUACAUUACCAGUUAUUGCAGAAAAUGUCAGUGAACACAUUGAAUUGAAGGAAGAUGCUUGAUAGAAGACAUUAUUUUGUUGUUUACAUAUAUUAUAAUUGUUAUUAGUAGGAAGGAGUUGUAAUGUUACUAUAGCAAUAGUAAUAUUCAUCACUCUUUUGAUGUAUGACUUCUAAAGUAACUUAACAUUAUUCA